AAACACGAGAGACUAUAUCACAACCACUGAUGUGGUCGGAGACUCAAAGAGGAUUGGAACUAAAGGUGGGGUGUGAGUGCAUCUAGUGUGUUGGAGACGGAGAGAGAGAUGAAGGGACAGUAAAGAAGCUCCCAAAGCUUGGACCGUGACUUGACAUAAGCAGUGAGGCAAAUCGAGAGGAGCAGUAUGAUAAUAAUUGGGUUUCCUGAUGACUGGAUGAGGCAAAGUGGGCUGCGGGGAAUGAUGCUUGAGAUUAAACCGACCCUGGAUGUUGAGGAUUCGAGGAGAGGGAAAACACAUGAUGGCCGUGAUGCUAACAAGUCCGUCUCCGAGUCUGCAGAGGCGCCCUGGGAGUCAUCUCCAGAAGAUACUACGGCGACGCUGUCCAUAGGUGUCACACCAGAAACGGAUGCAGCAGUGGCUGCUGGGACGGUCGUGGAAGUGCCUGGGGAUGGUGUCACGCCGG